UGGCAGGAUCAACCAGGUAGCAUUCCUCUUCGACGCCAUUAAUCACGCGCUAACAUGUCAACACGCGACCAACGUCAUUUUUAGAGAAUCGAGAACGCUUAUUUGGGGCAAAAACAAGGCCAUAACGACCGCAUACCCACAUAAGGUUCCAUAUCCGAGAGACCAAGCAAUGCUCCAUUAGCCAUGAAACCAGCACUUAUGCACCAAUAGCAUGGAUCACAAAGAUUGCUUCAAGGUUCAACCCACGCCCACAAGAGCAACGCGUGAUGAAUAGGGACACUUAUACGGCAAUGUGAUUCCUUCAUAUAGGUAUGCAACACAGAGAUCCCACUCAAUGCUCAAGGCAAAAACUACCUUGAACAAAACUGAAGAGGUAUGUACGGGGGGACGUUGCUGCACAAGCAGGCAUCCAACCACCCGUAACAUUCCAAUCACCACUCACGCACCGUUCCGGUUAUCAAUCCCAUGGAUCAACCCAACGCCUAGCAACCAACCUGACGCAUGCGCCAAACAAGCCGCUAGAAGCAAAGUAGAACCCAGAAUGC
rnacentral:misc_RNA from 1 species